rnacentral:rRNA from 1 species
AUAAGCAUAUCAAUAAGCGGAGGAAAAGAAACCAACAGGGAUUGCCCUAGUAACGGCGAGUGAAGCGGCAACAGCUCAAAUUUGAAAUCUGGCUCUUUCAGAGUCCGAGUUGUAAUUUGCAGAGGGCGCUUUGGCGUUGGCAGCGGUCCAAGUUCUUUGGAACAGGACGUCACAGAGGGUGAGAAUCCCGUACGUGGUCGCUAUCCUUCGCCGUGUAAAGCCCCUUCGACGAGUCGAGUUGUUUGGGAAUGCAGCUCUAAAUGGGAGGUAAAUUUCUUCUAAAGCUAAAUACUGGCCAGAGACCGAUAGCGCACAAGUAGAGUGAUCGAAAGAUGAAAAGCACUUUGGAAAGAGAGUCAAACAGCACGUGAAAUUGUUGAAAGGGAAGCGCUUGCAGCCAGACUUGCCUGUAGUUGCUUAUCCGGACUUUUGUCCGGUGCACUCUUCUAUAGGCAGGCCAGCAUCAGUUUGGGCGGUUAGAUAAAGGUCUCUGUCAUGUACCUCUCUUCGGAGAGGCCUUAUAGGGGAGACGACAUGUAACCAGCCUGGACUGAGGUCCGCGCAUCUGCUAGGAUGCUGGCGUAAUGGCUGUAAGCGGCCCGUCUUGAAACACGGACCAAGGAGUCUAACAUCUAUGCGAGUGUUUGGGUGUCAAGCCCAGACGCGUAAUGAAAGUGAACGGAGGUAAGAACCCUUUGGGUGCAUUAUCGACCGAUCCUGAUGUCUUCGGAAGGAUUUGAGUAAGAGCAUGGCUGUUGGGACCCGAAAGAUGGUGAACUAUGCUUGAAUAGGGUGAAGCCAGAGGAAACUCUGGUGGAGGCUCGCAGCGGUUCUGACGUGCAAAUCGAUCGUCAAA